rnacentral:tRNA from 1 species
GAACCCUUGGCACAGUGGUAGCGCGUGAGAUUCCAGCCUACGGAGCAAUCCGUGCAAGGGACAUCCUCAAGGUCGUCCGUUCGAUCCGGGCAGGGUUCA